UGCUGUCUUAUACUGUUGUUAUUUUAAAAAUUGUUCUUGUAGUUCAAGCUUUAUCAUGUUUUAGUCCCUCUCAGAAAAGAGAGUUAGGCAUAGAUGCCAUAGAAAAAAGGGAAACCAAUAUAACAUCAACUCUCUGAAAGGAAAGAUAGAGAGUACCUCCUGUGAGUUUUUCAAUGUGAUAAUUGCUCUUUUUCUUCUGAGUUAUAGGGUUUGCAUUAUGUAUAUAAUGCAUAGAUAUUGUGAGUAAAGCACUUUAACAUUUUGUAUCAUUUGCAUAAACCAAAGCAGAGAAAUCUGUGUUAACUGUUUCAAGGUUCCAUGGAUGAUCGGUGUACUCUUAAUCAUACCUAGAGGAGCCAAAGAUAAAGCUAUAUAGGACCUACUUUGCUGAAACCACAAAGUAUUAGCUCAGUUGCUUUUGAGAAAAAUUGGAUGUCUAAGUAAUCUUACUAGGGUUUCCAAUGGCGCCAGUGUCAAGGUCUUCCAACGACUCCAAGUCUUCCAGCAACUCCAAGUCUUCCA